rnacentral:rRNA from 1 species
UACGGGGGGGGCAAGCGUUGUUCGGAAUUACUGGGCGUAAAGGGUUCGUAGGUGGCCAACUAAGUCAGACGUGAAAUCCCUCAGCUUAACUGGGGAACUGCGUCUGAUACUGGGGGGCUUGAGGACAGGAGAGGAACGCGGAAUUCCAGGUGUAGCGGUGAAAUGCGUAGAUAUCUGGAGGAACACCGGUGGCGAAGGCGGCGUUCUGGACUGUUUCUGACACUGAGGAACGAAAGCCAGGGGAGCAAACGGG